AGUCAUAUGCUUGUCUCAAAGAUAAGCCAUGCAUGUCUAGUAUAAGCAUAUACCGCGAACUGCGAUGCUCAUAUAUAGUAUCGUUAUUGAUAGUACGUUACUACUGGAUAACCGUGGUAAUUCUAGAGCUAAUACAUGCUAAAAAUCCCGACUUCGGAAGGGAUGUAUUUAUUAGAUUAAAAACCAAUGCCCUUUCGGGGCUCACUGGUGAUUCAUGAUAACUCCUCGAAUCGCAUGGCCUUGUGCCGGCGAUGGUUCAUUCAAAUUUCUUCCCUAUCAACUUUCGAUGUUUGGGUAUUGGCCAAACAUGGUUGCAACGGGUAACGGAGGGUUAGGGCUCGACCCCGGAGAAGGAGCCUGAGAAACGGCUACUACAUCCAAGGAAGGCAGCAGGCGCGCAAAUUACCCAAUCCCGACACGGGGAGGUAGUGACAAUAAAUACUGAUACAGGGCUCUUUUGGGUCUUGUAAUUGGAAUGAGUACAAUUUAAAUCCCUUAACGAGGAACAAUUGGAGGGCAAGUCUGGUGCCAGCAGCCGCGGUAAUUCCAGCUCCAAUAGCGUAUAUUAAAGUUGUUGUGGUUAAAAAGCUCGUAGUUGAACCUUGGGCCUGGCCGUCCGGUCCGCCUCACCGCGUGUACUGGCUCGGCCGGGCCUUUCCCUCUGUGGAACCCCAUGCCCUUCACUGGGCGUGGCGGGGAAACAGGACUUUUACUGUGAAAAAAUUAGAGUGCUCCAGGCAGGCCUAUGCUCGAAUACAUUAGCAUGGAAUAAUAGAAUAGGACGUGUGGUUCUAUUUUGUUGGUUUCUAGGACCGCCGUAAUGAUUAAUAGGGACAGUCGGGGGCAUCAGUAUUCAAUUGUCAGAGGUGAAAUUCUUGGAUUUACUGAAGACUAACUACUGCGAAAGCAUUUGCCAAGGAUGUUUUCAUUAAUCAGGAACGAAAGUUAGGGGAUCGAAGACGAUCAGAUACCGUCGUAGUCUUAACCAUAAACUAUGCCGACUAGGGAUCA
rnacentral:rRNA from 1 species